rnacentral:rRNA from 1 species
UACAGAGGGGGCAAGCGUUGUUCGGAGUUACUGGGCGUAAAGGGCUCGUAGGCGGCCAACUAAGUCGGAUGUGAAAUCCCCAGGCUUAACCUGGGAACUGCAUCCGAUACUGGAUGGCUUGAAUCCGGGAGAGGGAUGCAGAAUUCCAGGUGUAGCGGUGAAAUGCGUAGAUAUCUGGAGGAAUACCGGUGGCGAAGGCGGCAUCCUGGACCGGCAUUGACGCUGAGUGAGCGAAAGCCAGGGGAGCAAACGGG